rnacentral:rRNA from 1 species
UACGUAGGGGGCAAGCGUUGUCCGGAUUUAUUGGGUUUAAAGGGUGCGUAGGCGGUCCUAUAAGUCAGUUGUGAAAUACGGCAGCUUAACUAUCGAGGUGCAAUUGAUACUGCAGGACUUGAGUACAGACGAGGUAGGCGGAAUUGACGGUGUAGCGGUGAAAUGCUUAGAUAUCGUCAAGAACACCGAUAGCGAAGGCAGCUUACUAGACUGUAACUGACGCUGAUGCACGAAAGUGUGGGGAUCAAACAGG